AAUAGAUACCCGGGUAGUCCACGCCGUAAACGAUGAGUGCUAAGUGUUAGGGGGUUUCCGCCCCUUAGUGCUGCAGCUAACGCAUUAAGCACUCCGCCUGGGGAGUACGGCCGCAAGGCUGAAACUCAAAGGAAUUGACGGGGGCCCGCACAAGCGGUGGAGCAUGUGGUUUAAUUCGAAGCAACGCGAAGAACCUUACCAGGUCUUGACAUCUCCUGACCGCCCUGGAGACAGGGUCUUCCCUUCGGGGACAGGAUGACAGGUGGUGCAUGGUUGUCGUCAGCUCGUGUCGUGAGAUGUUGGGUUAAGUCCCGCAACGAGCGCAACCCUUGUCCUUAGUUGCCAGCAUUCAGUUGGGCACUCUAAGGAGACUGCCGGCUAAAAGUCGGAGGAAGGUGGGGAUGACGUCAAAUCAUCAUGCCCCUUAUGACCUGGGCUACACACGUGCUACAAUGGGCGGUACAGAGGGUCGCGAACCCGCGAGGGGGAGCCAAUCCCAAAAAACCGCUCUCAGUUCGGAUUGCAGGCUGCAACUCG
rnacentral:rRNA from 1 species